GUGCUCACUUCGGCAGCAUGUAUACUAAAAUUGGAACAAUAUAAAGAAAAUUAGCAUGGCUCUUGCGCAAGAAUGACAUGCAAAUUCAUGAAUCGUUCCAUAUUUUU